rnacentral:rRNA from 1 species
GACGAACGCUGGUGGCGUGCCUAACACAUGCAAGUCGAGCGAAGGGAGUACUACGGUACGAACUUAGCGGCGGACGGGUGAGUAACGCGUGGACAAUCUACCCUGUAGACUGGGAUAACACCUCGAAAGGGGUGCUAAUACCGGAUAAUGUCGAGAAGCGGCAUCGCUUUUCGAAGAAAGGAGGGAAUCCGCUAUAGGAGGAGUCCGCGUCCCAUUAGCUAGUUGGUGAGGGUAACGGCCCACCAAGGCGAUGAUGGGUAGCCGGCCUGAGAGGGUGAACGGCCACACUGGAACUGAGACACGGUCCAG